CUACAAUGGCGUAAACAGAGGGAAGCGAGCCUGCGAGGGGGAGCGAAUCCCAAAAAUAACGUCCCAGUUCGGAUUGUAGUCUGCAACCCGACUACAUGAAGCUGGAAUCGCUAGUAAUCGCGGAUCAGAAUGCCGCGGUGAAUACGUUCCCGGGUCUUGUACACACCGCCCGUCACACCAUGAGAGUCGGGAACACCCGAAGUCCGUAGUCUAACCGCAAGGGGGCGCGGCCGAAGGUGGGUCCGGUAAUUGGGGUGAAGUCGUAACAAGGUAAC
rnacentral:rRNA from 1 species